GACGAACGCUGGCGGCGUGCCUAAUACAUGCAAGUUGAACGCUGAAGACUGGUACUUGUACUAGUUGGAUGAGUAGCGAACGGGUGAGUAACGCGUGGGUAACCUACCUCUUAGCGGGGGACAACUAUUGGAAACGAUAGCUAAUACCGCAUAACAAUCACUAACACAUGUUAGGGAUUUGAAAGCACCAAUUGGUGCACUAAGAGAUGGACCCGCGUUGUAUUAGCUAGUUGGUAGUGUAAUGGACUACCAAGGCGAUGAUACAUAGCCGACCUGAGAGGGUGAUCGGCCACAUUGGGACUGAGACACGGCCCAAACUCCUACGGGAGGCAGCAGUAGGGAAUCUUCGGCAAUGGACGCAAGUCUGACCGAGCAACGCCGCGUGAGUGAAGAAGGUUUUCGGAUCGUAAAACUCUGUUGUUAGAGAAGAACGUCAGUGAGAGUGGAAAGUUCACUGAGUGACGGUAUCUAACCAGAAAGGGACGGCUAACUACGUGCCAGCAGCCGCGGUAAUACGUAGGUCCCGAGCGUUGUCCGGAUUUAUUGGGCGUAAAGCGAGCGCAGGUGGUUUAAUAAGUCUGAUGUAAAAGGCAGUGGCUCAACCAUUGUGU
rnacentral:rRNA from 1 species